rnacentral:misc_RNA from 1 species
AUUCCCACCAUGAAGCAGACG